CCUACGGGUGGCAGCAGUGAGGAAUAUUGGUCAAUGGGCGGAAGCCUGAACCAGCCAAGCAGCGUGCAGGAUGACGGCCUUACGGGUUGUAAACUGUUUUUAUACGGGAAUAACGCGUCUUAUGUGUAGGGCUUUUCAUGUACCGUAUGAAUAAGGACCGGCUAAUCCCGUUCCAGCAGCCGCGGCAAGAUGGUAGGUGCGGUCGUUACCCGGAUUUAUUUGGUUUUACGGGAACGUAGGCCGCAUGUCAAGCUUGCUGUGAAAUGUCCGGGCUCAACCCGGGCCUUGCAGCGCAUACUGGCGUGCUUGAGUCCGCGGAAGGCAGGCAGAAUUCGACGUGUAGCGGUGAAAUGCGUAGAUAUGACGAAGAACCCCGAUGGCGAAGGCAGCUUGCUGCAGCGGAACUGACGCUGAGGCUCGAAAGCGCGGGUAUCGAACAGGAUUAGAUACCCGGGUAGUC
rnacentral:rRNA from 1 species